AUUGAACGCUGGCGGCAGGCCUAACACAUGCAAGUCGAGCGAAUUUGGCUUCGGCCAGAUGAGCGGCGAACGGGUGAGUAACGCGUAGGAAUCUGCCUGGUAGUGGGGGACAACGUUCCGAAAGGAACGCUAAUACCGCAUACGCCCUACGGGGGAAAGUGGGGGAUCUUCGGACCUCACGCUAUCAGAGGAGCCUGCGU
rnacentral:rRNA from 1 species